rnacentral:lncRNA from 1 species
GACAUCCUGAAGACUUCUGUGGGAGCAGAUGCCUAGCUGAAGCACAGCUGACAAGAGAGUCAUGAAAAAGCCAAAAGGAUCACCUGCUAAGUCCAUUUUAAAAUCAUGAUCUACAGAAAGAGACAGGGUCUUGCUCCAUCACCCAGGCUGGAGUUCAGUGGCAUAUUCACAGCUCGCUGCAGCUUUCACCUUCCAGGUUCAAGUUGUCUUCCCACCUCAGCCUCCCAAGUAGCUGGGACCACAGGAGGAAAUCUCUUCACUGCUGGCACUGACAAUGGAAGACUGAGGGUGCCCGGGAUCCUUCACCCCCACAUCCAGUGAGUCCACGGAACCCAGGGUAACUGGGAUGGUAUCUGGACAAAAUUUGGGGCAUAUUUGUUUCUCUCGACCUGAUUUCUGCAGAAUUUGGAAACUAUUUAUGGAGUCUUUCUCUGUCACCCAGGCUGGAGUGCAAUGGUACUUUCUGGGGUCACUGUAACCUCCGCCUCCUGGGUUCAAGCAAUUCUCCUGCCUCAGCCUCCCAAAUAGCUGGAAUUACAGGUAUCAUAUCCAGGCCAUGAUGAUGCAAGAGGUGGGCUCCCAAGAUGUUGGGCAUCUCUGCCCCUUUGGCUCUGCAAGGUACAGUCCCCAAGGCUGCUUUCCUGAGCUGGCAUUGAGUGUCUGCAGAUUUUCCAGGUGAACAGUGCAAGCUGUUGGUGGAUGUACCAUUCUGGGUUCUGGAGGAUGAUGGCCCUAUCCUCAGAGAUCCACUAGGCAAUGCCCCAAGUGGGGACUCUGUGUAGGGGCUCCCACCCCACAUCUCCCUUCUGCACUGCCCUAGUAGAGGUUCUCUAUGAGGGCCCUUUCUCUACAGCAGACUUCUGUCUGGACAGUCAGGUGUUUCCUUACAUCUUCUGAAAUCUAGGCAGACAUUCCCAAGCCUCAACUCGACUUCUGCACACCCAAAGGCCCAACACCAUGUGGAAGCCACCAAUGCUUGGGGCUUGCACUCUCUGAAACAAUGGUACAAACUGUAUCUUGGCCCCUUUUAGCCACAGCUGGAGCUGGAGUGGUUGGGAUGCAGGAUACCAUGUCCUGAGGCUGCAUAGAGCAGCUGGGCCCUGGCCCUGGCUCACAAAAUUAUUUUUUCCUCCUAGGCCUCCAUGCCUGUGAUGGGACAACCUAUCAUGAAGGUCUCUGAAAUUCCCUGGAGACAUUCUUCCCCAUUGUCUUGGCUAUUCACAUUCCACUCCUGUUUACUUAUGCAAAUUUCUGCAGCUGGCUUGAAUUUCUCUCCACCAAAUGUUUUUUUUUUCUUUUUUACCACAUGGUCAGGCUGCAAAUUUUCCAAUCUUUUAUGCUCUACUUUCCUUUUCAAUAUUAGUUCCAGUUUCAGACAAUCUGUUUUUUCAUACAUACAAGCAUACACCUUCAGAAAUAGCCAGGUCACAUCUUGAAUGCUUUGCUGAUUAGAAAUCUCUUCCACACGAUACCUUAAAUCAUCUCACUGAAGUUCAAAAUUCCACAGAUCUCUAGAGCAGGGGCAGAUCUCUAGAGCCAGUCUCUUUGCUAAAGCAUGGCAAUUGUGACCUUUACUUCAGUUCCCAGUAAGUUUGUCAUCACCAUCUGAGACCACCUCAGCCCAGACAUCAUUGUUAAUAUUACUGUCACUAUUCUGGUCAAAAUCAUUCAACAAGUUUCUAGGAAGUUCCAAUUUUUCCCACAUAUUCCUGUCUUCUUCUUAUCCCUCCAAAUUGUUCCAACCUCUCCUGUUACCCAGUUCCAAAGUCACUUCCACAUUUUCAGGUAUCUUUAAAGCAGUACCCCACUUUUGGUACAAUUUUUCUGUAUCAGUCUGUUCUCAUACUCCUAUAAAGAACUACCUGAAACUGAGUAAUUUAUGAAGAAAAUAGGUUUAAUUGUCUCAGUUCUGUAGGCUUAAUAGAAAGCAUGACUGGGAGGCCUCAGAAAACUUAUAUUCAUGGUAGAAUGUAAAGGAGAAGCAAGCACAUCUAUCCAUGGCAGAGCAAGAGAGAGAGAGAGUGAAGGGGGAAGUGCCACACACUUUUAAAUCAUUAAAUCUCAUGAGAACUCACGCAUUAUCACAAGAGCAGCAAGGGGGAAAUCCACCCCCAUGAUUCAGUCACCUGUCACCAGGACCCUCCUCCAAUUUGACAUGAGAUUUGCAUGGGGACACAAAUCCAAACGAUGCCAGGGUCUGAGAUUUUAUUCUAGCUAACAAGCUAACAAAGUUAGCCAGUUUUAUGAAUGCUCUCAGAAUCUGUGACACUUCUGAUACAGAGACACAGAACUAUAUUGCUCAUGACAAUAGCUAUAGCCAGAGCAUGAGCAUUGGCAUCAGUUAUCCCACCCCUAGUUCUCAUAUAGCCAUAUGACAUUUGCCAGAUGAUACUUGCACAUAUAGUGGGUUCAUUAUAGGAGAACAAUUGUGAGUUUAGGAGACCUCAGUAUUGUACUAUGACCCAUAAGCAUGUCCGUCUAAUGCUCUUAAGGGAGAACAUAUAUCUUCCAAUGCUUUAAGAAAAGAUACCCUUUGCUCCAAAGGGAAACACUAUAUCUUCAAAGGUUUUUACCACACAUUUUUUGAAAGGUAGAAUGGAACAAAGGCAGUAAUUCCUGUACUCAUAAGAUAGACAGAAACAUGUGAUACCCAUAGGACAUAAUCUCCCAACAAAGAGAAAUACUAUCAAGGAAUGAUCAUCAAGAUUGAAAAAAACAGGAGGGAAGAGAAAUAUGGAAAAUGAAGUGGAAAGAGUCUUCUGAGAGUGAGUUAACAGCAGUAAAUCUUGACAGAAAUUUCAAGUAGAAUGUGAAUUAUAAACAAUCUAUCUAUUUUGCACCCAGAAGUAGAAUUGUUAGAUCAUAGAUUAUUCAUAUGUUGAGCUUUAAAAUAUAUUGCCAAAUGACUUUCCAAAAUGUAUAUAAACAAUUUAUACUCCUACCAGCAUAAAUGACAAUUAGAGAAAAUCUAUACCUUUCCCAACAUUUAUCAUUAUUUUUAUUUCUAGCCAUUCUUUGUUGUUUGUAGUUAUAUGUCACUGUGGCUUUUAUACACAUUUUCAUGAUGACUAAUGGAGUUGAGCACUUUUUGAUAGGUUUAUUGGUCAUUUGAAUAACCACUUU